rnacentral:rRNA from 1 species
GACGAACGCUGGCGGCGUGCCUAAUACAUGCAAGUAGAACACUAAAGGAGGAGCUUGCUUCUCUGGAUGAGUUGCGAACGGGUGAGUAACGCGUAGGUAACCUGCCUGGUAGCGGGGGAUAACUAUUGGAAACGAUAGCUAAUACCGCAUAAUAGUAGUUGUUGCAUGACAACUGUUUGAAAGGUGCAAUUGCAUCACUACCAGAUGGACCUGCGUUGUAUUAGCUAGUUGGUGGGGUAACGGCUCACCAAGGCGACGAUACAUAGCCGACCUGAGAGGGUGAUCGGCCACACUGGGACUGAGACACGGCCCAGACUCCUACGGGAGGCAGCAGUAGGGAAUCUUCGGCAAUGGACGGAAGUCUGACCGAGCAACGCCGCGUGAGCGAAGAAGGUUUUCGGAUCGUAAAGCUCUGUUGUAAGAGAAGAACGAGUGUGAGAGUGGAAAGUUCAC